UUUCCGUAGGUGAACCUGCGGAAGGAUCAUUACAGUAGUCGCCUGGGUUGCCGCAAGGCCUCCCGGGUAGCCUACCACCCUUUGUUUAUUACACUUUGUUGCUUUGGCAGGCCUGCCCUCGGGCUGCUGGCUCCGGCCGGCGAGCGCUUGCCAGAGGACCUAAACUCUGUUUGCCUAUACUGUCUGAGUACUAUAUAAUAGUUAAAACUUUCAACAACGGAUCUCUUGGUUCUG
rnacentral:misc_RNA from 1 species